CGCCGAGACGCCCCGCCCCGGCCCGCCGGAGCCUGGGCUCGCUCGGCGCUGGUCGGAGCGAGCCAGAACUACGCGUAGCGACGUUGAAGCAGCACAGGGGGUGGUAGCAAGCACGUUUAUAGUAACGAGCAAAAGGUUCCCAUCAACCGAGAGACGUCUGCUUCUGCUCAGACACUCCAAUUCUUCGUCUGCAGGAAAUCAGUUCUCCAUUUAGUGUUAAUGCCUGAGUAAUGUCACCGGCUUUUCAUCUUUUCCGCUGGAGCGGACGCUCCCUUGGGCGCAGUCAGCGUUUUCCUGCGCGAGAGGGAGCUGGAGAGCGCGGUGCUCUCGGAAUGGGCGGCCGGGGAAGAAGGCUUAAGUCGGCGUUUGGGCAGAAGGUGCGGUUUUUUUAGAAAAAAGAAAUGGAGCACUUUCCUGUUUUAUUAGCAAAUAAAAAUUAUGAAUGGAGAAAUGUAACACACACGUUAUUGUUUGGAAUGAUCCUUCUGGUCGUGAUUUCCUGCAGAUUUAAGUUUAAACAACUUGCAAAUGCUUUACAGGAGUAAAUGGAUUAAGAAAUUCAUCUUUUUCCUCGCUUGUUAUCAGAGCAAGAAAUUAUGAAUUAUGCCUUCCACAAAUGGAAAAGAGGCUCUUCUUUCAGAAUAAGCUGCAAGAACUGGAGCUGCAAGAACCUCAGACUGGGGAUAAAAUUAUGAGAGAGAUUACGAAAACUGGCUACCAAGAACUUCCAUAUUUUAAGGUUUCUGGUAACUGCGUAUCUGCCUUGCCUUCCUGUUCUUGGUUGACCCUUGCUCUGUUCCUGAGUCCAGGUAAUAACAUUCUCCUCCCAGUUCCUCAACAAGGUUGUUCUCUGUCUCCUCCAGUAACUAGAUUUGCCUGAAUCCGCCCCAUAUAUCUCAC
ensembl:lincRNA